GAGGAAAGCAACUAUUUUAUUAACAAGAAGCAACAUUAGUUGUUCAUAGAUUAGUACACAUGAUAACAAUUCACAAUAGAUGAGCAGGCCUAAGCCCAACCACAGGAAGCUUUGUUAUUAGAAAUUUAAAGCAAUUACAUCCUCAUUUCAGCUCAGACAAUGACUCCAAAUCCUCUUCCACCACACUCACCAUGUACUUGUUAUCAGAAUUCCUCACUGAGCAAUUGGCACGAAUUUCUCCAUUACCACUCGUCAACACACUCAACUGCCCCAUCUUUAUCAUGGAAGCCACGAACUGUUCAAAGAACAAAGUUUCAUUAACAGCAAAGUUCUUGACAAUGUCCCUUGUCCUGGAAUCUGUGUACAAAUCUUGGUCUGAAGUAAAUAAACCUUGACGGUUCAUGAGAUCAACGUAGUACUUGUUGUCAAAUGUAUUGGGGGAUCGAAUGUCAAACACGGUUGUAUUGGUGGAGUUUGUUGUUGGGCAGAUUUGCUUGAGAUUAUUAGCAAAUGUUUUGUCCAUUACAGGGUCUUGGGUUGGAUACAAACGGUUUGUGAAAGAGCUGCAGUGGCUUAUUCCGAUGGUGUGGCCACCGGAGAGGGCUACCACGUCCGUGGCAUCGAAGUUUUUGGUGGCCAGCGAUGUGAGAAGCGUACUGGUAUUUGAAGUAGGUGCUGGCAAGUUCGCCAACGUUACAUUUCUGGUUGCGAAGGUCAAUCCAUCUCUUCUUCCCAAAGGAACUUCAUAAUCAGGACCACCUGACAAGAAAACAGAAUCGCGAGCAGCAAUAGCAACAAUAUCAGCACAAGACACGACUCGGCCGCAUCCUUUGUGCACCAGCUCUCGCAAGUCAUCGAUGAUCUCAAAUGCCUCUUUCCUCAAGCUCAAAUUGGGAGGUGCUUCUUGCUCACUUGGUCCGCUUGCCGAUCCAUCAAGCAACACUGAUCCAUCACAUCCCUGCACAAAGCAGUCGUGGAAGUGGAGACGAAGCAAGCCAGCAGCUUGUCCAAUGUCCUCCUUGAACACUUUCUUGAGUUGUUUUCUGAUGAUCGAUUCCACAUUAGGACAGCUAGAAUUGUAGAAUGUCCAUGACAGACCAUUCACUAUAGGAGCAGAUCUCUGUGCUUCAAUGGCACAAAACCAAGAACCCACUAAGAGAAAGGAGAUCAAAAGCAGAUAAGUGAAACAAUUAGCACUAUCCAUGGCUGGUUUUGUGUCCUGGGAGACAGAAAGUGUAUCUCAUUUAUAGGCAUAUACAGCUGCAUACAUCAAGCCUCUUCAGAGUUCAAAAGUGUAAGAUGUUUCUUGCGCUACAUCACCCUCAC
rnacentral:misc_RNA from 1 species